AUUGAACGCUGGCGGCGUGCUUAACACAUGCAAGUCGAGCGAGUGAGUUCUUCGGAACGAUCUAGCGGCGGACGGGUGAGUAACACGUGGGCAACCCGCAUCAUAGAGGGGAAUAGCCUCCCGAAAGGGAGAUUAAUACCGCAUGACAUCGUUGAAGGGCAUCCUUCGAUGAUCAAAGGAGCAAUCCGUUAUGAGAUGGGCCCGCGGCGCAUUAGCUAGUUGGUGAGGUAACGGCUCACCAAGGCGACGAUGCGUAGCCGACCUGAGAGGGUGAUCGGCCACAUUGGGACUGAGACACGGCCCAGACUCCUACGGGAGGCAACAGUGGGGAAUAUUGCACAAUGGGGGAAACCCUGAUGCAGCAACGCCGCGUGAGUGAUGACGGCCUUCGGGUUGUAAAGCUCUGUCUUUGGGGACGAUAAUGACGGUACCCAAGGAGGAAGUCACGGCUAACUACGUGCCAGCAGCCGCAGUAA
rnacentral:rRNA from 1 species